rnacentral:lncRNA from 1 species
AGGAAAUGACUGCUCAUGACUCACGAUGCUCCGCUUGAGGCCAGAGCAAUAACGUCUCUGCUCUGGGAAGGACCCGUAUUUGCACAGGACUCUAUAAAGUCCCUGCCCCUUCAAACACUAUUCUCACUUCCCCAAAACUGAGGCUGAAUACUGUCAUACACCACAAUUCCUACUGUGGAGUGAAAUUAUCUGAUCUCAACACUGGUUGAAGAGGUUACCUGGUCCUUUUCCUUCACCACUCACCAGGCAGAGCAAAGAGAAAUUAAACACCUAGCUGAAAGGCAUUUUGAAUGACAGUUUCAAGUAGAGACAGAUUACAAAUUGUGCAAUAUAAAGCAGGAGAGUUGGGUUUUUUGUUUGUUUUUUUUUUUUCUUUUAAUUAUGGCCUAGCAAUACAGCUGCUUAAUUAUCAUAAACUGCAUCAUACUCUUUGAGAUGGCCUUUUGGCUUGAAUCCAUUACUGAUUAUAUAUCUUGUAGAACUGUGGGAACUGCAUUAUCAAAGCAGCUUUUUAAAUGAAAAAAAAUUUUUAAAGAUGUAAAACUGAAACAGACUCAAAAAUAGAGAAAACAAACUAGUGGUUACCAGUGGGGAGAGGGAAGGGGGAGGGGCAAGAUAGGGGUAUGGGAUUAAGAGAGUCAAACUACUUUGUGUAAAAUAGAUAAACAACAAGGCCAUAUUUUUCUUUUUUUAGGGCUGCACCCAUGGCAUAUGGAAUUCCCAGGCUAGGGGUCAAGUUGAAGCUGCAGCUGCUAGCCUGUGCCACAGCUUUCAGCAACAUCACUUCCUUAACCCACUAAGCAUGACCAGGAGUCGAACCUGCAUCCUAUGGAUACUAGUCUGGUUCUUAACAUGCUGAGCCACAAUGGGAACUCCCAACAAGGCCAUAUUGUAUAUUACUUUGUUAUUACUUUUAAUGGAGUGUAUGCUAUAAAAAUAUUCAAUCAAUCACUAUGUUGCACACUGGAAACUUAUAAAUCAGUUGUAAUUCAAUAAAAAAUAAAAUGUUAAAAAA